rnacentral:rRNA from 1 species
CCUACGGGAGGCAGCAGUGGGGAAUUUUGCGCAAUGCUCGUAAGAGUGACGCAGCGACGCCGCGUGAAUGACGAAGGCCUUCGGGUCGUAAAGUUCUUUCGACAGGGAAGAAAAUGCCUAUUAGUAACUGUGUAUGUAUUGACGGUACCUGUAUAAGCAGCCCCGGCUAACUCCGUGCCAGCAGCCGCGGUAAUACGGAGGGGGCGAGCGUUGUUCGGAGGGACUGGGCGUAAAGAGCACGUAGGCGGUGUUGUAAGUCAUUAGUCAAAGACUAGAGCUCAACUUUAGUAAGGCUAGUGAUACUAUAAUACUAGAGUAUCAGAGAGGAUUGCAGAAUUCCUGGUGUAGCGGUGAAAUGCGUAGAUAUCAGGAGGAAUACCGUUAGCGAAGGCGGCAAUCUGGCUGGAAACUGACGCUGAGGUGCGAAAGCGUGGGUAGCAAACAGGAUUAGAUACCCCAGUAGUC